ACAGCUGGCUAGAAAGAGAUAGUCAUACAUAACUUUAAGGCAAUAAUAAUUGUGAUGUACAUGUAAAAUGUAUUAAAAUUUAAUAACUAACAUUCAAUUGAAAGAUUUAAUUUUAAAAAGAAAAAAACAGCUUUGUUAAAGAAAAACAAAGUUUUAUUUUUUGUUUUGCCCUUGAUAAAUACCAUUAAAUUUGGUAUAGUUCGAGUAGAUUUGGCUUAAAAAUCUUAUCGCACGCUUCUGCGUGUAUGGCUGUUGUUGGUUUCUCCACUUCUUAAGGGAGUGUGGUAGUAUUGGUGGUGGCAGCGACAACGACGACGACUGCAUGCGUGUGUGUAUCGGUUAAACAACAAAACACAGCAAAACAGCUUCAACAAUUCUUUCUCCAAUAUGUCGAAUUCAUUUCGUUAUCUAACUUCAGCGGAUACAGACCAACGUCAUUCUGAGCAGCAGCUGCAAGAGUUGCCAUGUGUCACAGAUUCCGUUGCCAAUACCACAGACCAGAUAAGACUCGUUAAAGUUCCUUCGGCGGCAUCUUCUACAAAUGAAGAAGAAGAUGAGGAGAAUAGAGAAAAGCUGUCGCAGGACAAUGCCACAAGGCGUGAAGAGAUUUCCGAUACCUUUAAUAAUUUGAUUGGAAUCGGCGGCGGUGGUGCUGGUGAAUCAAACACACAACAAUUAAGUCCCGGUUUAAGUUUACUGCAAGCAGCUGCCGCCUCCUCACCACCUCCCCACAGCUAUCGACACUCGCGUGCCUAUCGACAUUUUAAGAAUCCUCCUCAGCCUCACAUGUGUAUACGCACCACAACGGAAGCCGGCGAGGAGCUCUUCAUCAAUGUCUUGAGUUGGACUCGUAUUGUAAUACCUCAAGAGCCCAGUGACCCCAUACCUUUGUAUGGUGGAAUGAGGGUACCUCCCGGCAGUCCUCGUAGUCCUCCUAUUGUGUUUGCCGUUAUGGCCAAUCCAGAGGUUCUCAAAGAUUCGGGUCGGCAUAGCAAGGAUCCAGAAGAACGACGUGCCAUGGUAGAAUUAAUGUGUGAUUUUGUGGAAGCCAUGAAUCCAGGGGUCAAACUAGUGAGAAAUGCUGUUAUUCUUAAGGACCGCGAUAUAUCGGGUGAACUGAAAGAUGUAUGGAAUGCCGUGCAGGCUCAAAGAGAUCGUGAAAGGGAGGAACAAAUGAUGCAGCAACGCCAACAACAGCAACAACAUUAUCACAAUGUAGCAACAAAUGGUGGUGGUGGUGGUGUCGUCGGCGGCACCACAAAUGGUAGUAUUAGUGGGGGUGGUGGUGGAUUAAUAAACCCCGGGCUAAAUAAUAGCAACAACCCCUUGUUCAACCCACAACAGCAGCCGCAGCAGAUGUUCUCGAAAGGUGGUAUUUCUGGCAAUAUAAUGGUUGAGGGAACCCCACCCCGUAGUCGAAAAUUACUUAUGCAGCCCGAAAGCCAAAUGAGUGAAGAAAAUUUCAGCCAUUUACUGAGUAGCAACGACUUAGAUACAACAAAUCACAUUAGUUUGGCCAUGUUGGCCGAAAAGUUAGAUAAUAAGGUGGCAAUGGGUGGAGCUGGUGAUGAUUCCCCAGCGGCCGAGAAUCAUAGAGAUGUAAUGCAAUUGUUAAACCACGAUAAUCUUAGUAAUGGCAAUGAACUGAAAGAUUCAACGGAUUCUAAUGGUGGUGCAGUAUUGGCUGGCAAUAGCACCAAUCUGCAAAAGAAUGAAAUAAACAAUCAAUUAAAUGCCAACAAUAGUGCCACAAACAACACAACGUUGAAUGGAUCUACUGUUGGUAGCAACUCCUGCUUAACUCCCCUAUCCAAUGGCAGCACCACAGCAAAUAGUGGGACUGCUGCAAAUGCAAACAAUGUAGACAAUAGUACAAUAACAACAUCAACUACAGCAAUCACAAAUAAUGGGGCGACAACUAAUAAUGUGCCUGGAAAUUCCGCCAACUCCACUCUUACCACCACCAUAAUCACUACCACCACUAGCGGUGGGGAGAAAACAAAGGCUGCAAACACAAAUGCGACAGCCGCCAACAACACACUCGUGCCUGUGGCACAAACGCCUGUAAAUCCAACACCACCACCCCCUACAAAGAAAGAAAAACUAGGGGGUUUCUUGCCAAAUGGUUGUAUAUUUCCCCGUUUCACCAAGAACAACAAGCACAAGGAUAAGGAUAAGGAGGGCAAGACUAAAGACAAAGAAAAGAACGCUUUGUUAAGUGCUUUGAAAAAAUCCAAGGAUAAAAAGUCACAAGUGGCUGCCAGCAAUGCUAACAACAGCCAACCACAACAGCAGCAGGAUCAACAACUAAAAGAACUGAAUAAAACAACCAAUAACACCUCAGCAUCGACGACAACUACAGCAACAACAUCAUCUUCGCCUACAUCUACCACAACUGUCACUGCCAACAAUUCCUCAACAAGCACAUCAACAAAUAACCACCAUCUUUAUAGUCUGACUACAAAUAAAAAGAAUUGCCUACAACAAUUGGAGAAUGAGGUUCAAAAGUUGGAUUUGAAUCAUAUAGUGGAGGGCAAUUCAGCAACAAGCCCAACAUCAUCGCCAUCAUCAUCAUCAUCGCCAAACACCUCAACUACUGGCAAUUCAAGUCAUGCAACUAAAGCCGGAGUUGGAGUCCAUUAAUGAUUUGGGCUCUGCAAUGACACAAAGUGGUUGAAAAGUCUAGAGGUUUUGAUAUUGUCAAAGGUUGCAGUCCCCCGUAAAACCUCCUACUCAACAAGACACUUAAAACCAACGUUUUCUCUCCACUCUUUGUCAUCGUUUUCAGGCUCUACUUACGAUAAUAUAGAAGGCUUUAUAAAAUAAUUUAAAGUUGAUGGAAUGUGCCAUAGAAGAAAUUUAAAUUUCAUAAUGAUUUCAAGGCUUUGGGCAAAGACAUAAGGCAAUUCCAAAUUUUUGUUGCAAUAUUUUAGGUUUAGCCGUGUGUAUCUGUCUGUCCCUUCGUAAUUUGCGUUUAUGCCAUAAACUUUGAUAAUAAAGAUAUAGAAUUGUUUUUUGGUGUAGAUACGCAGUUCAAGUUCAAGUGAACGGGCCAAGGGGGAUUGAUUAUAUGUAAAUAUGUAGUUGACAUAUAGAUUGAAAUACCUAUUCAACUAUUUGAGCUCAGAAAAAUUAUAGUUCUCUGAAAAACAAAGCACAGCAAUUGGUAUUGGACGUGCCAAUUCUUUUGAAAACUGUGUACCACGUUGUUUCUUGACAUCAUUUUGUGUGUCCCACUUAACUUGCCACUGAUAAUUAACGAUUUUCUUUUGCAUGUUUGUCAAAAUCAUCUGAUUUUAUAAAGAAAAAACAUGCUUCAGAGAGUCGAGUGACUCUCUUGAGUGACACAAAACUAUUGGGACAAUCAGUAUACAUUUUUGUUGGUUUAUCAUAAAAGAAUUUUAUUUUAACAAAAAUUUACGCCUUGUUAAAAUAAUAGAUCGACUGCCUCUCCAGUUGGAAAAUCAGAUUCCUUCUUGAUUUUCUUUUUAACCUUGGAAAUAGUUCAAACAGACUCCGCCAAUGGAAUGACCGCUUUUUGAAGCCCACGAAUUGACCUUUUUUAAACCAAGCACUUGACAUAUGAGUGCAUUUUCUUGAUUUGGAUGCUUCUUUGUGAUUCAUAAUCUUCCGUUGCAAUUGAGAAACAUACAAGUAGUUUCACUGUUUUUCCUUUUAAAAUAACUAUUAGUUUCAUUGAACAUAUCUUUCGUUAUGUUUGUUCCAAUUUGUUUCAUUUUGUUCCGCUUUGCUUUGAAGGAAGCACUAGCAUCAGUACAAUGUACAACAAUCACCAUUGAUUUAUGUUGCUAAAUUUGAGGAGCGAGAAACAGAAAUGAUGUUGGUUUUUUUUCACCAUUUACCAAACAGGCAUUCCAAUGACUACCAUAGGUCUACGACAUACUUCUGCGAAUUCCAAAUCCACUAUCUAGUCAAUCUUGCUUCGGAGUCCAUUGC